rnacentral:lncRNA from 1 species
GAAAUCUAGGAGUAUAAUAUGACUAAUAACUUAGAAGGAUAAUCUAGGUUAUGGAACAUAUGUGAGUUAUGUGUAAGAGACACAUUGUAUGGAACAUGCCAUGUUAUUAUUUGUGUAAUGUGGUGAAUGAAGUCACCUGUGAUUGAUGAAUUUUGUUAUGGUUCGUGGAACCAAUGAUUAUGGAACCGAUCAUGUAUUCAG